rnacentral:rRNA from 1 species
GAUGAACGCUGGCGGCGUGCCUAAUACAUGCAAGUCGAGCGAACAGAUGAGGAGCUUGCUCCUCUGACGUUAGCGGCGGACGGGUGAGUAACACGUGGAUAACCUACCUAUAAGACUGGGAUAACUUCGGGAAACCGGAGCCAAUACCGGAUAAUAUAUUGAACCGCAUGGUUCAAUAGUGAAAGACGGUUUUGCUGUCACUUAUAGAUGGAUCCGCGCCGCAUUAGCUAGUUGGUAAGGUAACGGCUUACCAAGGCAACGAUGCGUAGCCGACCUGAGAGGGUGAUCGGCCACACUGGAACUGAGACACGGUCCAGACUCCUACGGGAGGCAGCAGUAGGGAAUCUUCCGCAAUGGGCGAAAGCCUGACGGAGCAACGCCGCGUGAGUGAUGAAGGUCUUCGGAUCGUAAAACUCUGUUAUUAGGGAAGAACAAAUGUGUAAGUAACUAUGCACGUCUGGACGGUACCUAAUCAGAAAGCCACGGCUAACUACGU